AAUAUUGGACAAUGGGGGCAACCCUGAUCCAGCCAUGCCGCUGAUGUGAAGAAGGUCUUCGGAUUGUCUCGCCCUUUAAGUCGGGAGGAAGGGCUUUAGGUUAAUACACUGAACUAUUGACGUUACCAACAGAAUAAGCACCGGCAAACUGUGUGCACGCAGCCGCGGUAAUACAGAGGGUGCAAGCGUUAAUCGGAAUUACUGGGCGUAAAGCGCGCGUAGGUGGUUCAGUAAGAUGGGUGUGAAAUCCCCGGGCUUAACCUGGGAACUGCUUUCAUAACUGCUGAGCUAGAGUACGGUAGAGGGUAGUGGAAUUUCCUGUGUAGCGGUGAAAUGCGUAGAUAUAGGAAGGAACACCAGUGGCGAAGGCGACUACCUGGACUGAUACUGACACUGAGGUGCGAAAGCGUGGGGAGCAAACA
rnacentral:rRNA from 1 species